GCCUGGGUGGCUCAGUCGGUUAAGCGUCCGACUUCGGCUCAGGUCAUGAUCUCACGGGUCGUGGGUUCGAGCCCCACAUCGGGCU
rnacentral:tRNA from 1 species